CCCAGCACUGGGGAGGGCUAUGUGUCCUCCUGGGAUUGGGUCAAGAACACCUGAUUUGGGUACCAGAGAGGCUGAUGCGAAAAUUGCUCCCCCCAACAGAGAUAUAAAUUGUAAUAGUUCCAGAAGGACAUGUUUUUUAGCAGAGUGUUGGCAGGGUAUAUUGCUGUGGUUGUGAAACUUCCCACCUUUGUGCCUAUAGUAGAUUUUGAAAUGUUUGCCACCUAUGCCCAUUGGUGCUACUCACUGAGUGGUCCAAUUUGAAUCUCUUUUCCUCAAAUCUUUGCUUCUGUUUGAGAAUGAGUUCAUUCACCAAGAAAUUAGGAUAGAGAUGGUCAAUAUUGUCCACAACAUAAUUACACUUGGGAUAUCUAUUAUUGUCCUCCAAGCUCUGAUGAAUACACUUGUAGCAAAAGCUGUG